GAUGAACGCUGGCGGCGUGCUUAACACAUGCAAGUCGAACGGAAAGGCCCAAGCUUGCUUGGGUACUCGAGUGGCGAACGGGUGAGUAACACGUGGGUGAUCUGCCCUGCACUUCGGGAUAAGCCUGGGAAACUGGGUCUAAUACCGGAUAGGACCACAUUUUGGAUGGUGUGGUGGAACGUUUUUCGGUGUGGGAUGAGCUCGCGGCCUAUCAGCUUGUUGGUGGGGUAAUGGCCUACCAAGGCGUCGACGGGUAGCCGGCCUGAGAGGGUGUACGGCCACAUUGGGACUGAGGUACGGCCCAGACUCCUACGGGAGGCAGAAGUGGGGAAUAUUGCACAAUGGGCGCAAGCCUGAUGCAGCGACGCCGCGUGGGGGAUGACGGCCUUCGGGUUGUAAACUCCUUUCGCUAGGGACGAAGCGUUAUGUGACGGUACCUGGAGAAGAAGCACCGGCUAACUACGUG
rnacentral:rRNA from 1 species